GCAGGGGUGGCAGAGACUCGUGACGGGCGACAAAAAAACCGACCGGAACGUGGCUGAAGCGGCCAAAUGCGCGGGGCUUAGGACUCCGUGGUUUAGUACCUACACAGGUUCAAAUCCUGUCCCCUGCA
rnacentral:tRNA from 1 species